rnacentral:rRNA from 1 species
GACGAACGCUGGCGGCAGGCCUAACACAUGCAAGUCGAGCGGUAGAGAGGUGCUUGCAUCUCUUGAGAGCGGCGGACGGGUGAGUAAUGCCUAGGAAUCUGCCUAGUGGUGGGGGAUAACGUUCGGAAACGGACGCUAAUAACGCAUACGUCCUACGGGAGAAAGCGGGGGAUCCUCGGACCUCGCGCCAUUAGAUGAGCCUAGGUCGGAUUAGCUAGUUGGUGAGGUAAUGGCUCACCAAGGCGACGAUCCGUAACUGGUCUGAGAGGAUGAUCAGUCACACUGGAACUGAGACACGGUCCAGACUCCUACGGGAGGCAGCAGUGGGGAAUAUUGGACAAUGGGCGAAAGCCUGAUCCAGCCAUGCCGCGUGUGUGAAGAAGGUCUUCGGAUUGUAAAGCACUUUAAGUUGGGAGGAAGGGUCGUAACCUAAUACGUUACGGCUUUGACGUUACCGACAGAAUAAGCACCGGCUAACUUCGUGCCAGCAGCCGCCGUAAGAC